AGGACAGGAAGUUGGCUGGGGUCCUGAACACGCUGCUGCCACAGAGCGGAGGAAAGGGUCUUGUCGGAAGCAAACAUUCGGACUUUUGCGUCGGCUGCUAGAAGAAGCAGCCGCAAAGACAGAGCGUGUCAGCGGGCACACCCUGUGCGUUGCCGCUCCGCACUCCCUCGACACCAAACGGCGUUGAGGGCGCGAAGGAAACCGAUACACUGCGUACAUCUUGGUUUGUCCUAUGCCAAGAGCCUUAAGGCAAGAUUGCACGCUUGAUAGGCGAACUUCAGUGGUUCGACUUCGAAGUCAAUCACCGUCCGGGUGCUUCAAUGAAAGACGCUGAUGCCCUAUCUAGUUUGGCGGUCAUACAAGAGGAAGCUCAUCAGGAAACAAUAAACGUCGCCAAGGUAUGGGAGGGAACUGAAGUUUUGCAGCCCAUUGAGAAUGGAAUUGCAGUACCUCCAACGUUGGCCCCAAAAGUUCUAGAUCUGUAUCAUAACAGUCCUCAUUCAGGCGGCAUGAUGGCUUUUGGAGAACAUACAUGAAGCUUGCAAAGCGAUUUACAUGGCUAAAAAUGAAAGAAGAGGGCAAGAGAUACGUAGAAUCGUGUCAUGAAUGCCAAAUAAGUAAAGCGAAAUAUAGGCAGCCUAUUCAGCACAUGACCUUGCCUAACUACUCAAAAACACCGUUUGAAGUUGUGGACUCGGACUCCGCUGAGCUCCGGAAAAAGUCUGAACGUGUCAAGAAAACCCAAGCGUUCCUGGUAUGUGUCGAGUACGCCAGGAUGGUGACUGCGAAUCUAGGAGGAGAGGAUGCUAACAGAGUUAAUGCUUUCAUGAGCCGAAAAAUUUUUCAGAAUUUGUAGGUAGUGGUAUCCGACAACGGGGCAGCAUUUAGGAGCUGUAGACUGAAGGAAUGGGCAGAACAGCGCGAAUACAUGCCGGGGUUCACAGCACGGUAUCAUCCAGCAGCUAACGGCUUGACUGUGAGAAUCAUUUGUGAUCUGAAGGAAUACAUGUGUAUGUAUCCAUAAUUUUCAGGUGGAUGGAAAUGUUGCUUGAAGCUGCGUUAUCCCAUCACAACCGAUCGUACACAACGGGCCUAGCAUGUACGCCAAUAUUGCCGCUGCAGGGAAGCCUACAUACCUUCAAGCUGACUUGGCAGUGGGAGUGGACAAAGUGGUACGACUUAAAGAAACCAAAAGAAAUGAGGAGAGCCAAACGAAAUGCCACGCAAGAAUCAACCGAAACUCCUACAAAAGGCAAAGCCCUGUGUUACCUGAACUGUUGGUGCGGGACUAGGUGCUGGUGAGGAAUGGACUCCCCGGGUAAAACUCAAUACGCAAGGAACCAUAUCGGGUCGUGAAAACGGCUAGACAACAGGGGCAGUUAAAUACUGGUUGGUACGUUGGCCCCCAACGACGCUGUAGAGUCAGUCUCUAUAGCCAACAUCUUCAAGUAUCAUCCGAGGAGGGAUGAAAACAAAGUUGGGGAAUUGAAGCGACUUGAAGAAGAAGGAUAUAGAAAGAGAUGAGGGAGCGGGAAAUAGGGGAGAAUAAAGAAGUGGUUA